rnacentral:rRNA from 1 species
UACGUAGGGUGCAAGCGUUUUUUUGUCCGGAAUUAUUGGGCGUAAAGAGCUCGUAGGCGGUCUGUCGCGUCGGCUGUGAAAACCCGGAGCUCAACUCCGGGCCUGCAGUCGAUACGGGCAGACUGGAGUUCGGCAGGGGAGACUGGAAUUCCUGGGUGUAGCGGUGAAAUGCGCAGAUAUCAGGAGGAACACCGAUGGCGAAGGCAGGUCUCCUGGGCCACUACUGACGUGAGAACGAAAGCAUGGGGAGCGAACAGG